rnacentral:rRNA from 1 species
UACAGAGGGUGCGAGCGUUAAUCGGAAUUACUGGGCGUAAAGCGUGCGUAGACGGUUAUUUAAGUCGGGUGUGAAAGCCCCGGGCUCAACCUGGGAACCGCGCUUGAGACUGGCACGCUCGAGUUCGGGAGAGGAUGGUGGAAUUCCCAGUGUAGAGGUGAAAUUCGUAGAUAUUGGGAAGAACACCGAUGGCGAAGGCAGCCAUCUGGACCGACACUGACGCUGAGGCGCGAAAGCGUGGGGAGCAAACAGG